rnacentral:rRNA from 1 species
UACGUAGGUGGCAAGCGUUAUCCGGAAUUACUGGGCGUAAAGCGCACGCAGGCGGUCUUUUAAGUUUGACGUGAAAGCUCUCGGCUUAACUGGGAGAGGUCGUUGAAUACUGGGAGACUUGAGGAAAUGAGAGGGUGUAGAAUUCCUGGUGUAGUGGUGGAAUGCGUAGAUAUCAGGAGGAAUACCAGUGGCGAAAGCGGCACCCUAGCAUUUUUCUGACGCUCAUGUGCGAAAGCGUGGGGAGCGAACGGG